UACGAAGGGGGCUAGCGUUGCUCGGAAUUACUGGGCGUAAAGCGCACGUAGGCGGCUUUCUAAGUCGGGGGUGAAAUCCUGGAGCUCAACUCCAGAACUGCCUUCGAUACUGGAGAGCUCGAGUCCGGGAGAGGUGAGUGGAACUGCGAGUGUAGAGGUGAAAUUCGUAGAUAUUCGCAAGAACACCAGUGGCGAAGGCGGCUCACUGGCCCGGUACUGACGCUGAGGUGCGAAAGCGAGGGGAGCAAACAGG
rnacentral:rRNA from 1 species